rnacentral:rRNA from 1 species
CCUACGGGUGGCAGCAGUGGGGAAUAUUGGGCAAUGGGCGCAAGCCUGACCCAGCAACGCCGCGUGAAGGAAGAAGGCUUUCGGGUUGUUAACUUCUUUUCUGAGGGACGAAGAAAGUGACGGUACCUCAGGAAUAAGUCACGGCUAACUACGUGCCAGCAGCCGCGGUAAUACGUAGGUGGCAAGCGUUAUCCGGAUUUAUUGGGUGUAAAGGGCGUGUAGGCGGGAAAGCAAGUCAGAUGUGAAAACUCAGGGCUCAACCCUGAGCCUGCAUUUGAAACUGUUUGUCUUGAGUGCUGGAAGGGAUAUCGGAAUUCCGGGUGUAGCGGUGAAAUGCGUAGAUAUACGGAGGAACACCAGUGGCGAAGGCGGGUUGCUGGACAGUAACUGACGCUGAGGCGCGAAAGCGUGGGGAGCAAACAGGAUUAGAUACCCCAGUAGUC